rnacentral:rRNA from 1 species
GACGAACGCUGGCGGCGUGCCUAACACAUGCAAGUCGAACGAGAGCUUCCGGUGCUUGCACUGGUCAAUCUAGUGCCCAACGGGUUAGUACCACGUGGGUAAAAUGACCAUCAGAGGGGGCUAACAUCCGGAAACGGAUGCUUAAACCGCAUAGGUCUUCGCCCCGCAUGGAUUGCAGAGGAGAUGAGGCGCAUGCUUCUGCUGAUGGAUGGAACCGCGGUGCAUUAGCUAGUUGGUGAGGUAACGGCACACCAAGGCCGUGGUGCAUAGCCGGCCUGAGGGGGUGAACCGCCACAUUGGCACUGAGACAGGUCACACACACCGACGGGAGGCCGCAGUAGGGAAUCUUCCGCGAGGGAGGCAUGUCGGACAUAGCAACACCGCGGGAGUGAAGAAGGUUUUCUGAUCGUAAAACGCUGUUGUUAGAGAGGAACAAAUGCUAGAGUACCUGUGAGCGCCUUGACGGUAGCUAGACAAAAAGCCACGGCUAACUACGUG